ACGAACGCUGGCGGCGUGCUUAACACAUGCAAGUCGAACGGAAAGGCCUGCUUUCCCUUGUGGAUUGCGGGUACUCGAGUGGCGAACGGGUGAGUAACACGUGAGUGAUCUGCCCCCAACUUGGGUAUAAGCCUGGGAAACUGGGUCUAAUUCCCGAUAGGACUGCAGGGUGGUGCCUGUGGUGGAAAACGAUUUUCUAGUGGUUGGGGAUGAGCUCGCGGCCUAUCAGCUUGUUGGUGGGGUAAUGGCCUACCAAGGCGGCGACGGGUAGCCGGCCUGAGAGGGUGGACGGCCACAUUGGGACUGAGAUACGGCCCAGACUCCUACGGGAGGCAGCAGUGGGGAAUAUUGCACAAUGGGCGGAAGCCUGAUGCAGCGACGCCGCGUGGGGGAUGACGGCCUUCGGGUUGUAAACUCCUUUCGACCGCGAGGAAGCCACCUGGUUGGAAGGGUGGUGACGGUAGUGGUAGAAGAAGCACCGGCUAACUACGUA
rnacentral:rRNA from 1 species